UGGGGCAAUACAAGGUUUAAACCAGGCCGACUGGAUGCAGGUUUUAAAAUAUGGGCAGAUAAGGGGAUUAAGACAGUAGCAGAUCUAUAUUCCUCCAGUAAACUUAUGUCGUUUGAGGAAUUGGUUCGUACAUUCGAUAUAUCUAGACAACAUUUCUUUAAAUUCCUACAAAUAAGGAAUUUCAUUUCUCAAAGUUACUCUUUAGAUAUGCCAUCUUUAUCAAUAUUAGAGAAGGAAGUGGUAAAAGAUUGUUAUAGCAGAAGCUUGAUUUCACUACUAUAUGGCAUUAUAGUAUCAGGGUCACAGGACUCCUCAGAUAACAAACUUGAAGCAUGGAAGAAGGAUUUAAAAGAGGACAUCCAUGUGAAUGACUGGAUGAAGGGGUGCAAGGAAGUUCAAAUCCAGACAGUAAAUGUCAGACUGAAACUAUUGCAAUAUAAAUGGCUGAUGCGAACUUACAUAACUCCCACCACGUUGCACAAAUAUAAUGAAAAUAUCCCGGACACGUGUGUUAAAUGUAUCACUUUUAAAGGCACUCUAUUCCAUUGCGUUUGGAAGUGUGAACAUAUAAUGGAAUUUAUGUGCUGUGAAAUGCAUAAUAGAUAAAAUCCUGAAUAUCAAUAUACCAAUUUCUGCAAAAAUAUUUAUAUUACAUCUAUACCGGCUAAACAUAUC